rnacentral:rRNA from 1 species
GGGGAAUAUUGGACAAUGGGCGCAAGCCUGAUCCAGCAAUACCGCGUGUGUGAAGAAGGCCUUAGGGUUGUAAAGCACUUUCAAUUGGGAGGAAAACCUGCCGGUCAAUACCCGGUAGCUUGACAUUACCUUUAGAAGAAGCACCGGCUAACUCCGUG